rnacentral:RNase_P_RNA from 1 species
GUCGCUCAACUUGGUUGGGAGGAAAGUCCGGGCAACGCAGAGCACCAUACUUCUUAACGGGAAGUAGUCAGUGAUGGUUAAGUAAUGUAACAGAAAAUAACCGCCUGAUUUCAGGUAAGGGUGAAAAGGUGAGGUAAGAGCUCACCGGGUAGUAUGGCAACAUAUUACGCCGUACAUCUUAUGGGUUGUAAGGUCAUGUAUACCGACGUAUAAGGAUUGCUCGUCCGAUGUCGGGGGGUAGACCGCUAGAACUAUAUGGUGACAUAUAGUCAAGACAAAUGACAGAUACCUUUUCUUAAGGGACAGAACCCGGCUCAUAUUCCUACUGU